rnacentral:rRNA from 1 species
UACGGAGGGGGCGAGCGUUGUCCGGAAUUACUGGGCGUAAAGGGCGUGUAGGCGGUCUGUCAAGUCAGAUGUGAAAUACCCGGGCUUAACUUGGGGGGUGCAUUUGAAACUGGCGGACUUGAGUGCAGGAGAGGAAAGCGGAAUUCCUAGUGUAGCGGUGAAAUGCGUAGAUAUUAGGAGGAACAUCAGUGGCGAAGGCGGCUUUCUGGACUGCAACUGACGCUGAGGCGCGAAAGCGUGGGGAGCAAAC